rnacentral:sRNA from 1 species
ACGCUGGCUCCGUGCCUAAUACAUGCGAGUCGAGCGAAUCUCGAGGGGCUUGCCCCUUGAGAUUAGCGGCGGACGGGUGAGUAACACGUGGGCAACCUGCCUAUAAGACUGGGAUAACUUCGGGAAACCGGAGCUAAUACCGGAUCAUUCUUUUCUACACAUGUAGAAAAGCUGAAAGACGGUUUACGCUGUCACUUAUAGAUGGGCCCGCGGCGCAUUAGCUAGUUGGUGAGGUAACGGCUCACCAAGGCCACGAUGCGUAGCCGACCUGAGAGGGUGAUCGGCCACACUGGGACUGAGACACGGCCCAGACUCCUACGGGAGGCAGCAGUGGG